rnacentral:rRNA from 2 species
UAUAAUGGGUCAGCGACUUAUAUUCUGUAGCAAGGUUAACCGUAUAGGGGAGCCGCAGGGAAACCGAGUCUUAACUGGGCGUUAAGUUGCAGGGUAUAGACCCGAAACCCGGUGAUCUAGCCAUGGGCAGGUUGAAGGUUGGGUAACACUAACUGGAGGACCGAACCGACUAAUGUUGAAAAAUUAGCGGAUGACUUGUGGCUGGGGGUGAAAGGCCAAUCAAACCGGGAGAUAGCUGGUUCUCCCCGAAAGCUAUUUAGGUAGCGCCUCGUGAACUCAUCUUCGGGGGUAGAGCACUGUUUCGGCUAGGGGGUCAUCCCGACUUACCAACCCGAUGCAAACUACGAAUACCGAAGAAUGUUAUCACGGGAGACACACGGCGGGUGCUAACGUCCGUCGUGAAGAGGGAAACAACCCAGACCGCCAGCUAAGGUCCCAAAGUCAUGGUUAAGUGGGAAACGAUGUGGGAAGGCACAGACAGCCAGGAUGUUGGCUUAGAAGCAGCCAUCAUUUAAAGAAAGCGUAAUAGCUCACUGGUCGAGUCGGCCUGCGCGGAAGAUGUAACGGGGCUAAACCAUGCACCGAAGCUGCGGCAGCGACACUAUGUGUUGUUGGGUAGGGGAGCGUUCUGUAAGCCUGCGAAGGUGUGCUGUGAGGCAUGCUGGAGGUAUCAGAAGUGCGAAUGCUGACAUAAGUAACGAUAAAGCGGGUGAAAAGCCCGCUCGCCGGAAGACCAAGGGUUCCUGUCCAACGUUAAUCGGGGCAGGGUGAGUCGACCCCUAAGGCGAGGCCGAAAGGCGUAGUCGAUGGGAAACAGGUUAAUAUUCCUGUACUUGGUGUUACUGCGAAGGGGGGACGGAGAAGGCUAUGUUAGCCGGGCGACGGUUGUC